UUACGCAAGCCCAUUUACUUCACCACGCACAGAUGAGCUCUUGUUUCCUAGAAGCGUUCUCUUACAAACAGUGCUGAUGAGCAGCAGAUGGCAGCAUUGACUUAGUUCUCCUAGACAGAGGCUCCUGCUCUCCAUGGUGACUGUAGUCACACACACGUAAUGACAGGCCGCAGGAUAUUUAAGAAUGGAAAUGAGCUGGCAGGAGAUGACGCUGAAACUGUUGGACAGAUACAACAUCAUCAAAAUUAGACCCGAAGUGAUGUAAUGCAGGAAGCGAGUCAUCGGAUGGAACCCGAAGUAUUGUCAUCGAAUGGAAGCUACGUCAUCAGAGGAUGCCAGAAGUGAUGUCUGGGAAGCCAUUUUGGAACCCGGAUGUAUGUACUGAGAAACCACCCUCUUGAAGGCACCUAGCCCCGCCCCUUCCAGUCUGAGCACUAUAAAUCAUGGGUGUCCCAGAAGAAGGUGUCACAUUUGGCCUGAGCAACCCAUGACCCAACUUAAUAUCGAGAAACCUCAGAUGGAGGAAAGUGUGCUUAAUGCACCCAACCAUAAUACAUUAUUCUCUACAAAUGUAAUUCCGAUGGCAAAUAAAGUACUAAGGGUUACAAAGUGAAUCAGACUUCAAAACUGUGCUGAUAAACAGGUUCUUGAACUUCGCUCCAUAAGCUGUGCACGUUUUGUGUUGUUUACAUUUUUAAUGAUAUUGAAAAAAAGAAACAAUUUCCAGGACUGCCAUGUUGUUUUUUGUAUAGGCGCCAUCAUCUGUUUUGUGUGUUAGAUGCUUAUGGCUCCUGUGCUGUUGCAAGGUAAGGUCAACCAAAAAUGUGCGGCACGUGACAUCACUUGGCCAAAGGUAUAAAGAUCAGCGUUGUGCACUUCCUGGUUAUCCAAAAUUGUUUCUGGCUACAAUUUUUUUGCCCUGCUUUUUGACUAUGAUUUAUGAUUUACAAUUUUGGCGCUUAUUCCUUUUCGUUUCUGGUUGCCAAACUUUCCUGCGCUGUUUACUGACUAUAAUUCUUGAAACACAUCGUAAGCACUUUUAAUGAUUAGUCUUUUUAGUCCUGACACUUGGCUAGAAAACACAGGACUUAGCACCAUCUCCUGAUUCCAGUUCCACUGUGCAGUCAAUAUGUACGUGUUAGCUUCUUUUAGGUUGGACUGUGCAAUCUGCAAAACCUGCUUCUCAAGUUUGGGGGUAAGGCUUAUUUUAUGCAUUUAACACUCUAGGGACCAUACGUAAUCCAUGUGGAAAAAUAAUAAAUAGUUUGA